GGUAUCAGAACAUCUGUGAAAGGUCAACAGAUAGGGCAUCAAGAAUAAAGGGGCACUCAAGGAUGAGGUGCCUGGGUGCCUCACAAUCUAUAGUAGCACGUGAACUCAGUCUGGCUCUGACCCACAGUAGAACAAGGUAGUAUCCAGCCAAGGGAAAACAAAAGAAGGGAAAAUAGCCUGAAUACACUGCAGCAGAACUGGCUUCUACCACACCAAGCGGAAGUCUCUUCCUGAUCUGUCAGGCAACAGGGCUGUUAGGCAGAACUCUCUCCUAUCUGCCCCGGAACACCUGCUCACAUUUUGGACUGAAACCAAGAUCCCAUAAACUGAGAUGGCCUUGCAUCACGCUCAGCGCAAGUUCCGUUUCUCUCUGUACGCUCAUAUCAAGUUGGACGCAAUUAAGCAGGUCUUCUGGUGACCGUCUGUCUUUUCGUUGAAGAGGCCAGAAGCAUCAAAGGGUUUCGGCGCUGAAGCGGAUUUCUGGGUUGCAGCCUUCUUAGGAGCAGACUUUUUUUAGGCUUCUCUGCCCGC